rnacentral:rRNA from 1 species
UACAGAGGGUGCUAGCGUUGUUCGGAAUCAUUGGGCGUAAAGGGCGCGUAGGCGGCUUGGCAAGUGGAUGGUGAAAUCCCUCGGCUUAACCGAGGAACUGCCGUCCAAACUGCUUCGCUUGAGACCGGGAGAGGUGAGUGGAAUUCCCAGUGUAGCGGUGAAAUGCGUAGAUAUUGGGAGGAACACCAGUGGCGAAAGCAGGUAACUGGACUAUUACUGACACUCAACUGCGAAAGCUAGGGGAGCAAACAGG